rnacentral:rRNA from 1 species
UACGGGGGGGGCAAGCGUUGUUCGGAAUUACUGGGCGUAAAGGGCUCGUAGGCGGCCAACUAAGUCAGACGUGAAAUCCCUCGGCUUAACCGGGGAACUGCGUCUGAUACUGGAUGGCUUGAAUCCGGGAGAGGGAUGCGGAAUUCCAGGUGUAGCGGUGAAAUGCGUAGAUAUCUGGAGGAACACCGGUGGCGAAGGCGGCAUCCUGGACCGGCAUUGACGCUGAGGGGCGAAAGCCAGGGGAGCAAACGGG